rnacentral:rRNA from 1 species
CCCUUAGAUGUCCUGGGCCGCACGCGCGCUACACUGAGUGUCUUAGAUACGAGUCUGCCUGGUCCGGCAAGGUCUAGGUAAUCGCUAAAAGACACAUCAUGCUUGGGAUAGAUUAUUGCAAAUAUUAAUCUUGAACGAGGAAUUCCUAGUAAGCGCAAGUCAACAGCUUGCGUUGAUUACGUCCCUGCCCUUUGUACACACCGCCCGUCGCUACUACUGAUUGGAUGUUUAAGCGAGGUUCUCGAACUGCUAGCGACUUAGCUUCGGUGAGGUCGCAGUGUGGGAAGUGAACCUAGCUUUGGUGUCUAGAGGAAGUAAAAGUCGUAACA